rnacentral:lncRNA from 13 species
UGGAGUCUGGUUGUACAUGAUGGAGUCUGUUUGUACAUGGAGUCUGUUUGUACAUGAUGGAGUCUGUUUGUACAUGAUGGAGUCUGGUUGUACAUGAUGGAGUCUGUUUGUACAUGAUGGAGUCUGUUUGUACAUGAUGGAGUCUGUUUGUACAUGAUGGAGUCUGUUU